rnacentral:rRNA from 1 species
UACGUAGGUGACAAGCGUUGUCCGGAUUUACUGGGCGUAAAGAGCGCGCAGGCGGUCGAUCAAGUCGAGUGUGAAAGCCCCCGGCUCAACUGGGGAGGGUCAUUCGAUACUGAUCGACUCGAAGGCAGGAGAGGGUAGUGGAAUUCCCGGUGUAGUGGUGAAAUGCGUAGAGAUCGGGAGGAACACCCGUGGCGAAGGCGGCCACCUGGGCCGACCCUGACGCUGAGGCGCGAAGGCGUGGGGAGCGAACGGG